GACGAACGCUGGCGGCGUGCUUAACACAUGCAAGUCGAACGGAAAGGCCCUGCUUUUGUGGGGUGCUCGAGUGGCGAACGGGUGCGUAACACGUGAGUAACCUGCCCUUGACUUUGGGAUAACUUCAGGAAACUGGGGCUACUACCGGAUAGGAGCUCCUGCUGCAUGGUGGGGGUUGGAACGUUUCGGCGGUUGGGGUUGGACUCGCGGCUUAUCAGCUUGUUGGUGGGGUAGUGGCUUACCAAGGCUUUGACGGGUAGCCGGCCUGAGAGGGUGACCGGCGACAUUGGGACUGAGAUACGGCCCAGACUCCUACGGGAGGCAGAAGUGGGGAAUAUUGCACAAUGGGAGGAAGCCUGAGGAAGAAACGCCGCGUGCGGGAUGACGGCCUUCGGGUUGUAAACCGCUUUCGCCUGUGACGAAGCGUGAGUGACGGUAAUGGGUAAAGAAGCACCGGCUAACUACGUG
rnacentral:rRNA from 1 species